rnacentral:lncRNA from 1 species
GACUUUGGACUCACGUAGGCAUAGGAGAACGAAACUUCUGUACAUUUUAAUCUGAAUAAUUCUUCAGGAUUUAAAAUUAAUUGGCUCUGGCUUGGUUGGACCGUACUCGGAUCUCGCCACCUCUGCGUUUCCCGAGUCACUGGCGAAGAGGUCCCAGUUCCUCUGGGAAUCGUCCUGUAUGCAACAUCUUCACAAGAGUGGCAGGCAGUUGAAUCUCUGGCCUUCGUGGGACCACUGGACAUCUGGCAGAGAACCAGGAAACCACGGUUCCCUUCUGUGAGUCCCUCAGCCGGAAAACUACAAGCUCCUCAUGCAGCUGCUGUCUACAGACCCCCUGGACUGCCUGGGGAAGUGAGUCGGAGCUCCUGCAGCAGAGGGGUGGAACAGCUACACGAAGAUCCGAAGGUGGCCAAAAAUAACAGCGCUUUCCAGAUGAGGGUAAUGUUAUAGCCAAGAUCAUCGCUGGGGUAGGGUGUCUUGUUCUUUGUUUUACAACCUAAAAAGUACACAGAAGACUCAAAGAUCAUUCAGGAAGGAG